GACGAACGCUGGCGGCGUGCCUAAUACAUGCAAGUCGAGCGAAGUUUUUCUGGUGCUUGCACUAGAAAAACUUAGCGGCGAACGGGUGAGUAACACGUAAAGAACCUGCCUCAUAGACUGGGACAACUAUUGGAAACGGUAGCUAAUACCGGAUAACAGUAUUUCUCGCAUGAGAGAUAUUUAAAAGUUGGUUAUGCUAACACUAUGAGAUGGCUUUGCGGUGCAUUAGCUAGUUGGUGGGGUAAAGGCCCACCAAGGCGACGAUGCAUAGCCGACCUGAGAGGGUGAUCGGCCACACUGGGACUGAGCCACGGCCCAGACUCCUACGGGAGGCAGCAGUAGGGAAUCUUCCGCAAUGGGCGAAAGCCUGACGGAGCAACGCCGCGUGAGUGAAGAAGGAUUUCGGUUCGUAAAGCUCUGUUGUUAGUGAAGAAUGGAUAUGUAGUAACUAUACAUGUAAGUGACGGUACCUAACCAGAAAGCCACGGCUAACUACGUG
rnacentral:rRNA from 1 species